UACGUAGGGUGCAAGCGUUGUUCGGAAUCACUGGGCGUAAAGGGCGUGUAGGCGGAUCGAUAAGCUAUGGGUAAAAGCCUGGGGCUCAACUCCAGAAGGUCUCAUAGAACUGUCGAUCUUGAGAGAGCUAGGGGUUAGUGGAAUUCUUGGUGUAGAGGUGAAAUUCGUAGAUAUCAAGAGGAACACCGGUGGCGAAAGCGGCUAACUGGGGCUAUUCUGACGCUGAGGCGCGAAAGCAUGGGGAGCAAACAGG
rnacentral:rRNA from 1 species